AUCUUGUCCUCUCUUUGAGUGGUUCUCAAACUUUUGUACUGGUUACCCCUUUCACGUAGCAAGCCUCUUAGUGUGACCCCUCUUGUAAAUUAAAAACACUUUUAUAUAUUUAACACCAUUAUAAAUGCUGGAGGCAAAGCGGGGUUUGGGGUGGAGGCUGACAGCUCGCGACUCCCCAUGUAAUAACCUCAU